AAUCUUACGCAAUGGGCUAAAUCCUGACGCAGCCUUGCCGCGUGUAUGAUGAAGUUUUUAGGAUUGUAAAAGUCUUUCACCGGGGACGAUAAUGACGGUACGCGGAGAAGAAUUCGCUGCUAACUUCGUGCCAGAAGCCGCGGUAAUACGAAGGGGGCUAGCGUGGCUCGGAAUUACUGGGCGUAAAGGGGGCGUAAGCGGACAUUUAAGUCAGGGGUGAAAUCCCAGAGCUCAACUCUGGAACUGCCUUUGAUACUGGGUGUCUUGAGUGUGAGAGAGGUAUGUGGAACUCCGAGUGUAGAGGUGAAAUUCGUAGAUAUUCGGAAGAACACCAGUGGCGAAGGCGACAUACUGGCUCAUUACUGACGCUGAGGCGCGAAAGCGUGGGGAGCAAACAG
rnacentral:rRNA from 1 species